rnacentral:lncRNA from 1 species
AUGCUCUGCAGUGUCCCUCGGAAAGAGAUGUGGACUCUCUCUGAUCUCCUGCCUGGGUGCCUGCUGUUGGUUGUAUGGCAAUGCUGGCUCCUGAGCAGUGUGCUGUUCAAGAAGGCACUAUCAGAUCACCACCCCCUGGUGAGCUGUCUUUUCCUAGCACAGAAUUGCAAGGAAGAAAGACAAGGAGACUUGAUUGUCAGAGCUGUCCUUGCAUGUACUGGUGUUGAUAACUGGUGAUACAAGGCUGUUAAUAUGGGUUUUGAAGUCUGGGCAGUUUUUUUUCUCUGCGUAGUUUGCUGGCUCUUCUCUUAUCCCUGCCUUCCUGUUGUCCUUUUCUCCUUGAUAUCUCUCCCCUUUUCCUUUUAUCUUAACCUGUUUCUGCACUGAAAAGUCAGUGGAAGGUUUAAUCUGGGGAAUUAUGCGUAUUUUAUUUGCCCAUACAGAUAGGGCGUAUAGAGCUAAUGUCAUGAAAUCAUGUAAGUCAUGAAUUCAUUUUAUGCCUCAUUCAUGAAGAAUAAAUACAAAUUCCUAGUUUCA